CCAAAGUGAAGGAACUUGUUUCAAAGUGCAUCCAGGCACGGGAAAUGGCAUAUUGCCCUUACAGCCGGUUCACGGUCGGUGCCGCCAUAUUGACAGCAGAGGGCGCUAUAAUCAAAGGUUGCAAUGUGGAAAAUGCCUCUUUUGGGCUCACAGUGAGCCGUAGCAGAGGGACAUAGGAAAUUCACUGCUAUUGCUGUUACAUGGUCUUUAUUGGCAUGGGAAACACAUGUUUACAUUGACAAAGC